rnacentral:snoRNA from 1 species
UCCCUCUCAGAGUCACACCUGGAGAGUUUUCAGUACUCUACCAGUCUCAACUAUGGGAGAGAGAGUCAAGCAGAGACACCCAUUCCAUUCCUAGUUUGGACAGUGCCUAGUGAGUGGAAGGCAAUCUGCUUCAAAU